rnacentral:rRNA from 1 species
AGCGAACGCUGGCGGCAGGCUUAACACAUGCAAGUCGAGCGCCGUAGCAAUACGGAGCGGCAGACGGGUGAGUAACACGUGGGAACGUACCUUUUGGUUCGGAACAACACAGGGAAACUUGUGCUAAUACCGGAUAAGCCCUUACGGGGAAAGGAUUAUCGCCGAAAGAUCGGCCCGCGUCUGAUUAGCUAGUUGGUGAGGUAACGGCUCACCAAGGCGACGAUCAGUAGCUGGUCUGAGAGGAUGAUCAGCCACACUGGGAC